GUAGCCGGCUACAGCCGUCACCCGUUAAAUCCAGCGUCUCAAGCGGUUGGACUGCGGUUGAUACCCUGUAGCUUCAGGGUGGGACAGGUCAGCGGUAUUUCCGGGGUAGGGGCGGAAAUCCUUUGAUCCCGGGAGGACCACCAGUGGCGAAGGCUGCUGACUAGAACACGCCUGACGGUCAGGGACGAAAGCUGGGGUAGCGAACCGGAUUAGAUACCCGGGUAGUCCCAGCUGUAAACGAUGCACGCUAGGUGUUGGGUCGGCCACGCGCCGCCCCAGUGCCGCA
rnacentral:rRNA from 1 species